rnacentral:rRNA from 1 species
UACGGAGGGUGCAAGCGUUAAUCGGAAUUACUGGGCGUAAAGCGUGCGCAGGCGGUUUGUUAAGUCCGUUGUGAAAGCCCCGAGCUCAACUUGGGAAUUGCAGUGGAUACUGGCAGGCUGGAGUACGGUAGAGGAAGGUGGAAUUCCCGGUGUAGCAGUGAAAUGCGUAGAUAUCGGGAGGAACACCAGUGGCGAAGGCGGCCUUCUGGACCAGUACUGACGCUCAUGCACGAAAGCAUGGGGAUCAAACAGG